rnacentral:rRNA from 1 species
GAUGAACGCUGACAGAAUGCUUAACACAUGCAAGUCUACUUGAACUUCGGUUUGGGUGGCGGACGGGUGAGUAACGCGUAAAGAACUUGCCUCACAGAUAGGGACAACAUUUGGAAACGAAUGCUAAUACCUGAUAUUAUGAUUUUAGGGCAUCCUAGAAUUUUGAAAGCUAUAUGCACUGUGAGAGAGCUUUGCGUCCCAUUAGCUAGUUGGAGAGGUAACGGCUCACCAAGGCGAUGAUGGGUAGCCGGCCUGAGAGGGUGAUCGGCCACAAGGGGACUGAGACACGGCCCUUACUCCUACGGGAGGCAGCAGUGGGGAAUAUUGGACAAUGGACCAAGAGUCUGAUCCAGCAAUUCUGUGUGCACGACGAAGUUUUUCGGAAUGUAAAGUGCAUUCAGUUGGGAAGAAAAAAAUGACGGUACCAACAGAAGAAGUGACGGCUAAAUACGUG